CAUGACGUUUGCACCCUUUAGUUAUGGCCUUGUAUGUUUGCCAAAUUAAGGGAGGUCCUAAAUUGAAUAAAGUAAAAGAAGUGUUACUUUUUCAUAUUUGAACUACAGUAACCUAAAAUGGAGACACCUAAGGUAUAAAUAGGUGUACUUUUAAAUGUUAAGACACAGAGGAGAGACUUGGAGACAGACGCUGCUCCAUCUUAAAAUGACAGAGAGGCUGACAUGAUGACAUGUUCAGAAGGGUAUGUUAACCUAUUAAUGAUAUUUGCAAGCAUUUAAUUUAAUCUUUUAAACUCU